rnacentral:rRNA from 1 species
ACUAGCUGCGAGGCACCUCGGGGCCAACCUCCCACCCGUGUUGCCCGAACCUAUGUUGCCUCGGCGGGCCCCGCGCCCGCCGACGGCCCCCCUGAACGCUGUCUGAAGUUGCAGUCUGAGACCUAUAACGAAAUUAGUUAAAACUUUCAACAACGGAUCUCUUGGUUCCGGCAUCGAUGAAGAACGCAGCGAAAUGCGAUAACUAAUGUGAAUUGCAGAAUUCAGUGAAUCAUCGAGUCUUUGAACGCACAUUGCGCCCUCUGGUAUUCCGGAGGGCAUGCCUGUCCGAGCGUCAUUGCUGCCCUCAAGCCCGGCUUGUGUGUUGGGCCCCGUCCCCCCCGCCGGGGGGACGGGCCCGAAAGGCAGCGGCGGCACCGCGUCCGGUCCUCGAGCGUAUGGGGCUUCGUCACCCGCUCUAGUAGGCCCGGCCGGCGCCAGCCGACCCCCAACCUUUAAUUAUCUCAGGUUGACCUCGGAUCAGGUAGGGAUACCCGCUGAACUUAAGCAUAUCA